GCGAGUGAAGCGGCAAAAGCUCAAAUUUGAAAUCUGGCACUUUCAGUGUCCGAGUUGUAAUUUGAAGAAGGUAUCUUUGGGUCUGGCUCUUGUCUAUGUUUCUUGGAACAGAACGUCACAGAGGGUGAGAAUCCCGUGCGAUGAGAUGUCCCAGACCUAUGUAAAGUUCCUUCGAAGAGUCGAGUUGUUUGGGAAUGCAGCUCUAAGUGGGUGGUAAAUUCCAUCUAAAGCUAAAUAUUGGCGAGAGACCGAUAGCGAACAAGUACAGUGAUGGAAAGAUGAAAAGAACUUUGAAAAGAGAGUGAAAAAGUACGUGAAAUUGUUGAAAGGGAAGGGCUUGAGAUCAGACUUGGUAUUUUGUAUGUUACUCUCUCGGGGGUGGCCUCUACAGUUUACCGGGCCAGCAUCAGUUUGAGCGGUAGGAUAAGUGCAAAGAAAUGUGGCACUGCUUCGGUAGUGUGUUAUAGUCUUUGUCGAUACUGCCAGCUUAGACUGAGGACUGCGGCUUCGGCCUAGGAUGUUGGCAUAAUGAUCUUAAGUCGCCCGUCUUGAAACACGGACCAAGGAGUCUAACGUCUAUGCGAGUGUUUGGGUGUAAAACCCGUACGCGUAAUGAAAGUGAACGUAGGUAGGACCUCCUUUAGGAGUGCACUAUCGACCGAUCCUGAUGUCUUCGGAUGGAUUUGAGUAAGAGCAUAGCUGUUGGGACCCGAAAGAUGGUGAACUAUGCCUGAAUAGGGUGAAG
rnacentral:rRNA from 1 species